GAUGAACGCUGGCGGCGUGCCUAAUACAUGCAAGUCGAGCGAACAGACGAGGAGCUUGCUCCCCUGUCGUUAGCGGCGGACGGGUGAGUAACACGUGGAUAACCUACCUAUAGGACUGGGAUAACUUCGGGAAACCGGAGCUAAUACCGGAUAAUAUAUUGAACCGCAUGGUUCAAUAGUGAAAGACGGUUUUGCUGUCACUUAUAGAUGGAUCCGCGCCGCAUUAGCUAGUUGGUAAGGUAACGGCUUACCAAGGCAACGAUGCGUAGCCGACCUGAGAGGGUGAUCGGCCACACUGGAACUGAGACACGGUCCAGACUCCUACGGGAGGCAGCAGUAGGGAAUCUUCCGCAAUGGGCGAAAGCUUGACGGAGCAACGCCGCGUGAGUGAUGAAGGUCUUCGGAUCGUAAAACUCUGUUAUUAGGGAAGAACAAAUGUGUAAGUAACUAUGCACGUCUUGACGGUACCUAAUCAGAAAGCCACGGCUAACUACGUG
rnacentral:rRNA from 1 species